rnacentral:rRNA from 1 species
GAUGAACGCUGGCGGCGUGCCUAAUACAUGCAAGUCGAGCGAACGGACGAGAAGCUUGCUUUUCUGAUGUUAGCGGCGGACGGGUGAGUAACACGUGGAUAACCUACCUAUAAGACUGGGAUAACUUCGGGAAACCGGAGCUAAUAACGGAUAAUAUUUUGAACCGCAUGGUUCAAAAGUGAAAGACGGUAUUGCUGUCACUUAUAGAUGGAUCCGCGCUGCAUUAGCUAGUUGGUAAGGUAACGGCUUACCAAGGCAACGAUGCAUACACGACCCGAGAGGGUGGUCGGCCAGACGGGAACAGAGACACGGUCCAGACUCCUACAGGGGGCAGCGGUAGGGAAUCUUCCGCGAUGGGGGAGAGCCUGACGGAGCAACGCCGCGGGAGGGAUGAAGGUCUUCGGAUCGUAAAACUCUGUUAGUAGGAGAGAACAAAUGUGUAAUUAACUGUGCAGAUCUUGACGGUACCGAAUCAGAAAGCCACGGCUAACUACGUG